AUUGAACGCUGGCGGCAGGCCUAACACAUGCAAGUCGAACGAGUGGCGGACGUGUUAGUAAUGUCUGGUAAACUUCCUGAUGGAUGGGGAUAUCUACUGGAAACUGUUGCUACUACCGCAUUCCAUCGGAUGUGCCCAGGUGGGCGUAGUUCGUAGGUGGGGUAAAGGCUCACCUAGGCGACGAUCCGUAGCUGGUCUGAGAGGAUGACCAGCCACACUGGAACUGAGACACGGUCCAGACUCCUACGGGAGGCAGCAGUGGGGAGUAUUGGACAAUGGGCGCAAGCCUGAUGCAGCCAUGCCGCGUGUAUGAAGAAGGCCUUCGGGUUGUAAAGUACUUUCAGCGGGGAGGCGUUAACAGCAGAAGAAGCACCGGCUAACUCCGUGCCAGCAGCCGCGGUAAUAC
rnacentral:rRNA from 1 species